rnacentral:rRNA from 1 species
AGUGAACGCUGGCGGUAGGCCUAACACAUGCAAGUCGAACGGCAGCACAGUAAGAGCUUGCUCUUACGGGUGGCGAGUGGCGGACGGGUGAGGAAUACAUCGGAAUCUACUUUUUCGUGGGGGAUAACGUAGGGAAACUUACGCUAAUACCGCAUACGACCUACGGGUGAAAGCAGGGGAUCUUCGGACCUUGCGCGAUUGAAUGAGCCGAUGUCGGAUUAGCUAGUUGGCGGGGUAAAGGCCCACCAAGGCGACGAUCCGUAGCUGGUCUGAGAGGAUGAUGAGCCACACUGGAAGUGAGACACGGCCCAGACCACUGCGGGAGGCAGCAGUGGGGAAUAUUGGAGAAGGGGCGAAAGCCUGACCCAGCUAUCCGGGGUGGGUGAAGAGGGCCUUGGGGUUGUAAAGCCCUUUUGUGGGGAAAAAAAAGCAGCAGGUUAACACCCCGUUUUUCUGACGGUACCAAAAAAAUAAGCCCCGGCUAACUUCGUG